GGGGAAUUUUGGACAAUGGGGGAAACCCUGAUCCAGCCAUGCCGCGUGAGUGAGGAAGGCCUUAGGGUUGUAAGGCUCUUUCACCCGUGACGAUGAUGACGGUAACGGGAGAAGAAGCCCCGGCUAACUCCGUGCCAGCAGCCGCGGUAAGACGGAGGGGGCUGGCGUUGUUCGGAAUUACUGGGCGUAAAGCGCGCGUAGGCGGCCAGUCAAGUUAGGCGUGAAAGGCCUGGGCUCAACCUGGGAACUGCGCUUAAGACUGAUCGGCUCGAGUCCGGGAGAGGGUGGUGGAAUUCCCAGUGUAGAGGUGAAAUUCGUAGAUAUUGGGAGGAACACCAGUGGCGAAGGCGGCCACCUGGCCCGGCACUGACGCUGAGGCGCGAAAGCGUGGGGAGCAAAC
rnacentral:rRNA from 1 species